UUGGUAACAUGAAGCAGACUGCAGUCCAUGGCUAAGCUUCAGGAGGUCUUUUUAUAAGGCCCCGUCCUGACCAAGACUCUUUCACGGUUGUCCAAACAUUUCCUUUUGGUCUAUGGAAUGGAGUAGGUCAUAGUGUGUGGGGCUUCUAGAACCUUCCCACAGUGUGUGUCCACUAUGGCAGUGCCCCAGAGGCUAUCUUGAAGACAGCCCUGAAGGCCAAAGGGGAGUUGAGUCAAGAAGAAAGAAAAAUGAAGAAAGCAAAGAACAAAUAAGGAAAGGUCUCUGAAGUGUUUGAAGACCAUAUAUCUAUCUAAAACAUUGAAAACAUUCCUAACAUGACCACAAAUUUGAUUGCUACAGAUGGGACAGAAGAGGGCACCAGAUCUCAUCAUAGAUGGUUGUGAGCCAC